CCCUACCAGUAUACAGUAGCCAACAAGGAGUAUGUAGCCUAUAGCCACACAGGAAGGAUUAUCCCAGCUAUCUGGUACCGUUAUGACCUCAGUCCAAUCACAGUCAAGUACACAGAGAAGAGACAACCCCUCUACCGGUUCAUAACUACGAUCUGUGCUAUCAUCGGGGGGACGUUCACGGUAGCAGGCAUCAUAGACUCCUGUAUAUUCACAGCCUCCGAAGCCUGGAAGAAGAUCCAGAUAGGAAAGAUGUCCUGAGGACAUAUCACUACGCUGUCCUGAGGACCCAUCACUACGUAUCACUACGCCCCUCAUAAAACAUAUUUAUAACAUCGGAAGGGUGUAUUUCAAUCAUCUACAGGAUUCCUCUCCUUCACCUGCUUCCUCUCCUUCACCUGCUUCCUCUCCUUCACCUGCUUCCUCUCCUUCACCUGAUUCCUCUCCUUCACCUGCUUCCUCUCCUUCACCUGCUUCCUCUCCUUCACCUGCUUCCUCUCCUUCACCUGCUUUAAUAAUACCAUUUAGCUGCCGGUUGUUUCCUAAGCGACUUAGUCAUGUUACACAUUUUUCUUUAUGGGUGGCCCCAGCGGGAAUCGAACCCAAGUGCCAUGCUCUACCCACUGAGCCUUACAUUCCUUCAUCUGUCAGAGCAGAGGAAGGAAAGGAGACGAGGCGAGGAAGCGACUCUAGACUAUUGAGAUGCACCCAGAGACUGGCAGUAUAUUUCCCCAUAUGACAACAGGAUGGAUGGUUAACUGAUUGUUUUUCAUAUGAACCUGUGCAAUCACUUGGGCAUGUCCAAAUGGCACCAUUUUACCCUUUAUAGUGCACUUCUUUUGGAGCCUCAUAAAUAGUGCACUUCUUUUGGAGCUUCAAAUAGUGCACUACUUUUGGAGCCUCAAAUAGUGCACUAUGAAUUAAAUAGGGUGGUAGAAUUAAUUAAUUUGUCAUCAAAUUUUCUCUCCUGUUACUUUCAAAUGUUUUUUUUUUUUACAUAAUAUUUUGUACUUUGUGACAUGAAGUGAAUAUAAACUGUCUCUUUCAGGUGUAAAAUACCACACUGUAACAUAACAUACUGUAUUUAUGAUUGAAUUGUGGAAUGAAUCAUACUGUCACAUCAAGCCAUUGGAAAUAUAAUGAAUCAAUUGUGCCUUAGGUCUUUUUUAAAGCCCAUGUCAUACAGUAUGUCUCCCAAAUCAAGUGUUUUCAGAUUUCUGGAUCGUUUGGUUUUUCAUUUCAGUGUUGACUGAACCAGGCUUUUCUUAUUGUCAUUUCAUAAUGCUGAAUCUAUUACCGUAUUGACUGAAUAAUGGACCGGUUCUAGAACUGGUCUUGGUUCUAGAACUGGUCUUGGUUCUAGAACUGGUCUUGGUUCUAGAACUGGUCUUGGUUCUUGAACUGGUCUUGGUUCUUGAACUGGUCUUGGUUCUAGAACUGGUCUUGGUUCUAGAACUGGUCUUGGUUCUAGAACUGGUCUUGGUUCUUGAACUGGUCUUGGUUCUAGAACUGGUCUUGGUUCUUGAACUGGUCUUGGUUCUAGAACUGGUCUUGGUUCUUGAACUGGUCUUGGUUCUAGAACUACAACGUGGUCAAUGCUUACUGCCUUGCCCCGCCCUCUCUCCUUUUUAUAGAAUGUUUCCUGAAUCCAUUGUGACUGACCGUGCUAUCUGUUCAAUGUCCUUGUGUCAAAUCCAUUUAUGAAGUUGUUUUUGGUUUGAUCUACUUUCUGAAAACGUUCAAAGGAUUUGGACGUCUUUAUUUUGUUGCCAAAAAGAGAAAAGUAAUAGUAUUUUCUUAGUUUCUUCUGUUUUACUGAAUGUAAACGUGUGUAUUCUUUUGAUUGUAAUUGAUUGUAACAAUCGGUAUUAUCCAUUUGAUGUUGUUACAGGGUUUCUGUGGGAAGGGAGGGAACUGUUUAGUUAUAAGGGCUAUAUCCCAAAUGUUACCCUAUUGCCAUUGUAGUGCAUGACUUGUAGAUCAGGGCCCAUAGGGCUAUCAUCAAAAGUAGUGCACUACACAGGGAAUAGGGUGGCCGUCAAUAUGUUCUUUAUCAAUGGUCUCAUCACUACCAUGACAACUAAGAUGAAGGCCAUUGAUAAAUAGAAGUCUUUAGAACUGGUAUUAUUGGACUAGGUCAGACAUUUUCCUGUCAUGAAAGAUGAUGUGUGAUCAAUGCAACAACCAGUAAAGUUACUUUAGCAACCA